AUAUAUAUAUAUAUAUAUAUAUAUAUGAAUCGAACUGUUAAGGACCAUCUUCUUAUCGAUUUUGUAUGUUUACAAAUUGAAAAUUUAUAAAAUCAAUCAGAUAAUAUAUAAAAUCGAGUUGAUCAACGCACACCUCCUAAGCCUAACCUUCAAUGUCUUCAUGAUCUACUAUUAAUUUAAAGUAAUUAAUAAUUAUUUUAAAUAUAAUUAUGAUAAUUGAAUUAAGAAUUAAUAAUUAAAUAUAAAAGCACAUGAAUAUCAUAGUUUAUAUCUAAUACAUUUGUAAAAUAAUCUUUAAUUAUCAUGAAGACAUUAAAAUAAAAUAAUCAAAUCUAAUACCAUACAUGAAAAAGGAAUUGUACGCUUUACAUAUAAAAAAAUCUCAUCAAACGUUUUUAAUGCUAUUAGGGUUAUUAGGAGGGAGAAAUAAAUUGACAAAAUUUAAAAUUUGAGAAAGAAGUAGCCUCCUCCCCCCUCCUCUAAAAAAUUUCCCUCCAAAAUAUUUUCCUCUAAUUUUUUGGUCAAAUUUCAGCUUAUUUUUUUAUAUAUUAGAGAAAUUAGAUGCAUGACAGUCUGACCUACAAAAAUAUUGGAGACACAAAAAUCGAAAUCCUAAACUUACAACGGUAGUCAAGUCUUUCUCCAAGAAAGGUAAAGUUGUUUGUCUAAUAUCAAUUUGUUUGGUAUUUCAAUUAUCGGUUCAUUUUUUAAAUUUCUCAAUAACUAAUUGACUCCUCUUCCUCUUCAAAUUCCACUAUGAAUCUAUCGAAUUGUUGGACCCCUUUCCUUGGAAUUCAUCAACUUUUCUAGAAAUGGGUCAGAAUGGUCUUCGAAAAAAGCGUAAUCGUGGGGCUGACAAUAAUGACGUGGAACCUGUUACGAGUUUCAAAUAGACAUCUGGCAAAGAAAGUUUGCGUGACGUGGAACCUGUCACGAGUUUCAAAAAGACAUCCGGUAAAGAAAGUUUGCGUGAGGUAGAAUCUGUUAUGAGUUUCAAAAAGACCUCAAGCAAAGAAAAUUUGCCCAAGAAACAUGUAGAUGAAUCUAUUUAUUCCGGCUCUACCAUUGUGAAAAGAAAAACUAGAGAACCAACGCGAUGCUUGAAAAUAAUAAAUUUACAAGAGGGAGAAAAAGUGUGUACAAUUUGAUGAAGAUAAUCAAGCAAUUGGUGAUAAUGCAACUCAAUUCAUUUGAUUUUUGGGCCAAACAGUGAGAAGUCAUUCUUGUUGCCCGUUGAAAGUAAAUUGUUGGAAGGAAUUGAGCAAGAUAAGAUUGAUCUUAUGUGGGAUAUCAUCUUGGGGAUAUCAUCUUGGAGAAAUUUAACUUUGAUGUUCUGAGGAAAGAAAAAACGCAAUUCUGAAACAUAUGAAUGACCUUUAUAGGGAUUAUAGACACAAGCUGAAACGAGAUUAUUUUGAUAAAAACAACAACUUACCAACUUCGCUUAUGCAACAAGCCUAAACGUGUUAUGACAGACGACUGGAAAUAUUUGGUCUAUCUUUGGAGUGAUGAUAGCUUUCAGAAAAAUGCAAAAACUUCUUCUCGUGUUGAAGUCUUUAUUGAAUCGCGCAAGAGAAAAAAUGAAAAAUAAGUUGAUACUUUUCAACAAGACAUAAUUGAUCAAUUAGAACAACAUAAAAAGGAGCAAAAAGAGGAGAAAUUUUCUUAAAUAAUGAUGAUAUUUUUGAAAAGGUGUUGGGGAUUGAAAAAAAUAAAUAUCUUCGUGCAUAUGGACCAGGAAAAAGUAUCAGUGAAUAUUUUGGUGGAAGACCGAUAAAGAUACAACUCAUAAAACAAGUAGAAUCGAUCAGAAAGAAAUCAAAUGAGCGUGUAAAAAAAGUCAAACGGGAAGCUAAUGAAGAAUCUGAAGAAAUGAAGAAAGAAAUGGAGGAUAAGAUAGCAGAGUUGGAUAAACGAUGGGAAGAAAGAUUUCGAACGAUAUUUUCGACUCGAGGUCAACAGUUGUUGCAUCAUGUGGAGGAGUGAUGAAAAUGCCAAAAUUAAUGAAUGUUCGUGAUUAUAUUCUCUUGCAAAAUAUUUUCAGACUAUUGUUGACAAUCUAU